GUGCUCACUUCAGCAGCACUUAUACUAAAAUUGGAAUGGUACAGAGAUUAGCAUGGCGUGUGCAAUGAUGACAUACAAAUUCAUGAUGCAUUUCAUAUUUUU